rnacentral:rRNA from 1 species
UACGUAGGUCGCAAGCGUUGUCCGGAAUUACUGGGCGUAAAGCGCACGUAGGCGGCUUUGUAAGUUAGAGGUGAAAGCCCAGGGCUCAACCCUGGAAUUGCCUUUAAGACUGCAUCGCUUGAACAUCGGAGAGGUAAGUGGAAUUCCGAGUGUAGAGGUGAAAUUCGUAGAUAUCAGGAGGAACACCUAUUGCGAAGGCAGCUCGCUAGGACGUUACUGACGCUGAGACGCGAAAGCGUGGGGAGCAAACAGG